UCCCACAACCUAACAACAAGGAGGAAAAACGAGUCGGUCGGCAUGGCACUGAUGCGAACGCUUCGUUUUUAUCCUUGUUGUUUUAUCGUUGAAAAU